rnacentral:rRNA from 1 species
GUUGAACGCUGGCGGCAGGCCUAACACAUGCAAGUCGAGCGGAGCGGCGGACGGGUGAGUAAUGCCUAGGAAUCUGCCUGGUAGUGGGGGCUAACGUCCGGAAACGGGCGCUAAUACCGCAUACUAUCAGAUGAGCCUAGGUCGGAUUAGCUAGUUGGUGGGGUAAAGGCCUACCAAGGCGACGAUCCGUAACUGGUCUGAGAGGAUGAUCCGUCACAAUGGGACUGAGACACGGUCCAGACUCCGAAGGGAGGGAGCAGUGGGGAAUAGUGGACAAUGGGCGAAAGCCUGAUCCAGCCAUGCCGCGUGUGGGAAGAAGGUCUUCGGAUUGGAAAGCACUUUAAGUUGGGAGGCGUUACCAUCAGAAGAAGCACCGGCUAACUUAGUGCCAGCAGCCGGGGUAAUUC